rnacentral:sRNA from 1 species
AACGACCCGAAGGGCGAAGCGCGAAGCGCUGAGUAAUCCUUCCCCCACCACCA